GAUGAACGCUGGCGGCGUGCCUAAUACAUGCAAGUCGAGCGAACAGACGAGGAGCUUGCUCCACUGACGUUAGCGGCGGACGGGCGAGUAACACGUGGAUAACCUACCUAUAAUUCUGGGAUAACUACGGGAAACCGGAGCUAAUACCUGACAAUAUAUUUAACUUCAUGGUUCCAUAGUGAAAGACGGUUUUGCUGUCACUUAUAGUUGGAUCCGCGCCGCAUUAGCUAGGUGGGAAGGUAACGGCUUACCAAGGCAACGAUGCGUAGCGGACCGGAGAGGGGGAGAAGCCACACUGGAACUGAAACGCGAUACAGACCACUACGGGAGGCAGCGGAAGAGUGUCGACCGCAGUGGGCGAAGGGCUGACGGGAAAACGCCGCGUGGGUGAUAAGAUGACGCGGAUAGUGAAACUCAGUUAUUAGUGAGGAACAAUUGUGUAAGUAACGAUGCACGUCUUGACGGUACCGAAUCAAAAAGCCACGGCUAACUACGUG
rnacentral:rRNA from 1 species